AACCCAGUAAGCAAGGGAGCUCUUACUCGUAGAAAUUUUUUUGAAAAAUGAUCUACAUUAAUCCUAGAAAGGACUCCAAUGAAUUCUCUCUCUUAAAAAUGUAGUAAGUUUUUCUGCUAAAAAAAAAAAACUUAAAAAUUUUGCUAACAGGUAAAAAUAGAAAUGGACGCACAAAUUAAUUACAGGUGUUUAUUAAAUGAUUCACUCAGCUUUAAGAUAACCAUAUUAGUAUGGCUUUAGGAGACCUUACAACUAAAAAUAUCUAGUCUUGAUUUUUUUUUUCUUUAAAUAUUGCUACAGAAAUUAUUUAAAUAUGUUCAAUUUACUGUUUGCAUUUUGCUUAAAGAAAAAAAUGAUUACAAAAUAGCCUUAAAUAUUUUUUAAAAAUGCCUUAAGAUAUGGUAAUAAAAUAAAUAGCGAUAUAAUCCUCCAACAGUCACAAAAGAAUUGAUAAAGCAAUUUUUGGAAAAAGUGAGUUAAAUGGGUUUGUAGGUCUAGUGUAAAACAGUGUAAAAAUCUUCCUUUUACAGAAUUCACUCUCCUUGUGAUCUGCUCUGGUAUCUUUGACAUAAGGCACUAUCUUCUGCAUAUGCUGGAUAAUGGACAUGUGUUAAAAAAAAUAAACUGUGGGUACACACACUGUAUUAUCACAGAAUAAUCUAAAAUCAGAAUAAUUUAAAAAUCUUUAGGAUUUUGAAGUUUACCACUUUACUCAUAUUUUUACCCAUCCUUGAGCAUUUUUCACUCUACCUUUUCAUUGUGCCCUAACCCUGACUAUGUUUUGGGUAAUUCAGCACCCUAGCAGUUAAGGUAUGCUAGAGAAAUACCCAGUAACACUGCUACAUUUUUUGCUCAGUUUAAUCCCUAUUCUCCCCUGCAGUGAUUUGCAAAGUGUGGUCCCUGGACCAUCAACAACUGUAUCAAUUUGAAAAACAUUACAAAUGCACAUUUUUGGCUUCACCCAGAGCUACUAAAUCACAAAUUCCAGGCCUGGAGCCCAGCAGUCUGUGUUUUCAUUCCUCCAUGUUUGCUUUCAUUUUAUGCCCUACUAACUCUUUGACCAAAUUUAUGCUUUUGAAAAUACCUUCUUGCUACUAUGUAUCUGUAGCUAGCUUUUGCACAUUUUCUCCUUCCCUCUAUUAAAAAAGUAGUUAAGUAUCCUAUUACAAGCAAACUUCAAAACUCGCUGUCUUUUUUCAUCUAUUCUUUACUCGACCCCCCAAAAUCUGUCUUCCAUCCUCAUCAAGCACUAAAAUUUUUCUUGAAUGUCACAGUUCAUAUAAGUACCAGAAUCAUUUUUACUUUUCUAAAUUAUCCUGUCAAUAGUUACUUGUUCCCUCCUGAAAUCAUCUUGUAUUUCACGCAAAAAAGAAAAAAAAGUUGGUGAUUUUGAGACAGUUGAAAGGAAACAUCAAGAAACAACUGGACAUAUUUAGGUCAUUAUCAACAGAGUAGUCUCAAAUUUAACUAUAAUUUUGUGAGUCAUUUGAAAGUUUGUGGUUAUUAAGGCUAUGUAUGACUGAGAUUGCCUAAGGAGGAAAUGCAGAAUGAUAUAGAAAACUAUUAAUCUGAACUAUAAAUUUGUGAAUCUUUGCAUAUUUAAUUGCAGCUAUAUACAGAAAUUAAACAAUGAGAUGGGAAGAAUCUUAAGCACUCCAAAGUAAAAACAAACAAACAAACAAAAAACCUCCUACACUAAAGGCCUGGGUAGAGAAAAAUGAACCUAUAAUUUUCUUUGGUGGGCUCUUUUUCCUAAACUCAGCUGCUCAAUUUUUGCAAUCUAGGCAGUUCAGAAUCAAAAUAUCCAAAAGCAUAUUUAUAAUUGUUCAUUUCAAAUUUAACUCUUUUCUACUUUCAUUCCUCUUAGAGAAUGGCAUUAUUCAUUCCUUUCCAGAAGCCAGAAACCUAGGGGCUGUCACUUUACCUGGCUGCCCAGUGCUUCCAAAGGACAAUUCACUACUAACAGGUGAGCUGUUAUGAGCUGUAUGAUUUGGAAUAGUUCACAAAUCUAUCUCUUUUCUUCACAUCUACUGCCUUCAAACUGAUGAAGCUAUUGCCAUUACUUAAUGUAGGCAACAGCAUAGGCAUCAGUCUGGUUCCCUUAUAAAGACUCUCCAAUUAUUUCUCUAGGAAAAAAUGAGUCAUGUCUUCCAAGUGCAUGUCUUACCAUAUUAAACUUAAACCAUUUUAAGGACCUUCUGUUACUCUUCAAAUAAAAAACACAAUCAAUUAAUUAAGCUCUAUUUGAUUAUGGUCUGGCCCUUAUUUCCCUUUAUAGUAUCUUAUUCUCUGCUUCUCUCAUUCUCUGAAUUUCAAAAAUUCUUGCCUAUUUUGGCCUCAUGAACUCACUAUUCCACCCCAUCUAUAAAGUCUUUUUUCAUAGUCAUCUUUGGAAUAUAACAAUACAUUCUCUUCUUCAGCAAAUCCUUGAAUUUCCUUUAGGUCUCUGCUCAAUCCCAAUAUGAGAAUAAUGAGUCAAGUAUCAAUAAAUAUUUACAGGAGUUCCCAUCAUGGCUCAGUGCAAAUGAAACUGACUCAAAUCCAUGAGGACCCAGGUUCGAUCUCUGGCCUUGCUCAGUGGGUUAAGGAUCUGGCACUGCUGUGGCUGUGUAGGCCAGUGUCUACAGAUCCAAUUUGACCUCUAGCCUGGGAACCUCUAUAUGUUAUGGGUGCAGCUCUAAAAAAAUAAGAAAAAAAAAGAAAUACUUACAAGUAAAUUUUUUUCUUUACUGAGUCCAUCUGAAUAAUUUUUUAACAUAUUUUUAGUUUUUAUGUUUUCUUAGUUUUUAGAUUAGACCUGUAUUCACUUAUUUUUACUUAGGAAUAACAUAGCAAAUUAGGAAAAUAAAUUGUAGUUUUACUCCAUCUGUUUUGUGUAUUAUACAAAAGAAAUUUAUAUAUAUGGGAUUUAUUGAUAUAGCUUUUAUAUACUUAUUGAGACACUUAUUCAUACUGGGGUGAACACUGCUUGCAUUUUAUUUUCAUAUAUUUUUAGGUAAAACUUUUAUGAAGUAAAUGCUGUAAAGUUUUGUUUUCAACAAGUUGUCUAUCAUAGAGGAAUACUUACAACACCGUAUAGCAUUAGCAAAUAUAUAGCAAAUGAUCCAUAAAAUCCAAGAGGCUAAACAUUUGGUAUUCUGAACUUUUUUAAAACCACAAAAUAAUAAGCUUAAUAAAAUAAUAGUUUUGAUGAGGCUUUCCUUUAAAAAUAGGCAGCAUUAUCAUACAAAGGAGUAAUUUUCAAAUAAAAUCCAAAAAUACAUCAUUUAAAGUAAAAUCAUUCAUUGAGCACCUCUUUAGAACAUCAGAACGAAGGAUAUGUAACAUUCAAGCAGAUAAAAUAGAUGUCAUAGAGUUCUUGCAACGAAAAGGUGUAUUCAUCUACCUUGGAGACUACUGUUUUUACAGACUGUAUAUGAAUUAACAGUGCUGUAUGGUCCUCUUGUCUAAAAAGAUUUAAAGUCUAGAAAAGUUGUGAUUUCUAGAGUUCAGCAUAUUCGGGUUUUUCUCAUGUGUCCAGUGGCAUGAGGAAAAAAGAAAAAACUGUAAAGACCUACCCAAAUACCAAGGGGUCAAAUGAUAAAGCUGUUAAAAACCUGCCAGGUACCAGGAGACCUCAUUUAUCUCCAUGCCGUACAAUUUCUCCAUGUGAGCUCCCAUAUUCAAACAUGACUGCUUUGAUUUUGUUUCCUGCGCUUCUGAUGCUUAAUUUUACUUACCCUCAAAGGGGGCCUCCCGAGCAUCUCAAUAUUCUCAAAAUAAAACAAAAAUGUUUCUUGCUCAAUGUCUUACCUUGUUCACUGUUGUUGCUAUUAUUUAAGGUUGUCCUAGUACAAUUUGGUUAUCAUUCUUGCAGUUUUUCUCUCUUUCUUUCAACAUUUCAUUGUUCAUAAAUCCUAUAAAUAUUUACCCAGAUACAUGAGGAAAACCUCCACUCUUAAGCCCUACAAAAUGUUUCUCCUGAUAUAUUCCAAUAUUUCAAAUAUGGCUUUCAUUCUUCUAAUUAUGGGUUCUUACAUCAUCCAUUCUUUUUCAGCAUUGGCUUCUAAAGAAAAAUUCAUCGCAUUUUCUUACAAGGAAACUCUGAUGGUUUCUUAUUUGUUAAAUUCCAACUUACAGCAUAAUUUCUGAAAAAAACAAGAGCUAGAAGUAUUUAUUUAUUUUAUUUUAUUUUACUUAUUUUUAUUUUUUUGCUUUUUAGGGCCACACCUGUGACAUAUGGAAGUUCCUAGGCUAAUGGUCAAAAUGGAGCUACAGACUACUACGCUACAGCCAUAGUAAUGUGGGAUCCAAGCCAUGUCUUUGGCCUAAACCAUAGCUCAUGGCAAUGCCUGAUCCUUAACCCACUGAGAGAGGCUAGGGAUAGAACCCACAUCCUCACAGAUACUAGUUGGGUCCAUGGUCGGCUGAGCCACCAUGGGGACUAUUUAUUCCUUCACAAACCGCAUAAACCGGUCUGAGAAUUUAACCUUGGAACCUAGCACCCACACAUUUUUGCUCAUUUGAUGCUGUAAGUCUGAGAAGUCUCAAUGAUUUUAUAUAUAUAUAAGCUUCAUUAAACAUGUGGGUAUUUUUCUUUGUUCUAAGUAAAGAACAAUUUGACUACCCACCCAAUCCUCUCCCAAUUUUCCCUCCUAAAGCAAACCAAAACCAAAACCAACAAAAACAUACAAUUUUGCUGAAGUACUCAUUUGUGUCCCUCCAGAGGAAGUGACUGCCACCAAAAUUCUAGGUUAUCCUCUUUGAUUAAUCUCUAUCAGUCUGGUGGUUUCACUCUUUUCUCAGUAACAAAUCUACCAAGGCAUGUAAUCAAAUUAUGUCCAGUGAAUUAGGAAGACCAGCUAAGAAAUCCUUGAGAAGGAUUCUCUACUGCUAAGAAUGACACUGAAGCAGAGAAGACUCCUUUUAUCUUUGGAUGUGAUUUUGUUUUCACUUCAACAGUUUUAUUAUGCACACACACACACACACACACAGUGGGGGUUAAAACAAUAUUCUUUAAUUUCCAUUUUUAUAUACUUCUAGGAGUAUGUUUUAUUUUUCAAGUUAUCUCGUUUAAAAUUGGUUUUUAUUCAUGGUAACCACAUGUCAUAUGU
rnacentral:lncRNA from 1 species